rnacentral:rRNA from 1 species
UUGGCUCAGGAUGAACGCUGGCGGCAUGCCUUACACAUGCAAGUCGAACGGCAGCAUGAUCUAGCUUGCUAGAUUGAUGGCGAGUGGCGAACGGGUGAGUAAUACAUCGGAACGUGCCCUGUAGUGGGGGAUAACUAGUCGAAAGAUUAGCUAAUACCGCAUACGACCUGAGGGUGAAAGUGGGGGACCGCAAGGCCUCAUGCUAUAGGAGCGGCCGAUGUCUGAUUAGCUAGUUGGUGAGGUAAAGGCUCACCAAGGCGACGAUCAGUAGCUGGUCUGAGAGGACGAUCAGCCACACUGGGACUGAGACACGGCCCAGACUCCUACGGGAGGCAGCAGUGGGGAAUA